GAUGAACGCUGGCGGCGUGCCUAAUACAUGCAAGUCGAGCGAACAGACGCGGAGCUUGCUCCUCUGACGUUAGCGGCGGACGGGUGUGUAACACGUGGAUAACCUACCUAUAAGACUGGUAUAACUUCGGGAAACCGGCUCUAAUACCGUAUAAUCUAUUGCACCGCAUUGUUCAAUAGUGAAAUACGGUUUUGCUGUCACUUCUAGAUGGAUCCGCGCCGCAUUAGCUAGUUGGUAAGGUAACGGCUUAACAAGGCAACUAUGCGUAGACGAACGGCGAGGGGGAUCGGCCACCUUGGAACGUAGACACGGACAAGACGACUAAGGGACGGAGCAGUAGGGAACCUGCAGCAAAGGGCGAAAGUAUGACGGAGAAAGGCCGAGUGAGAGAUGAAGGCGUUCGGAGCGGAAAAACCUGUUAUUAGGGAAGAACAAAUGUGGAAGGAAAUAUGCAGGGAGUGACGGUAAUGAAUAAGAAAGCAACGGCUAACUACGUG
rnacentral:rRNA from 1 species